AGAGUGAGGGGAUGGGAGAGUCCAAUGGCAUGUGGGGUUUUUGUUCCCUUCUCUCAUCACAAAAGUUUAUUUGAUGCUAUUCUCUUUCCAGGGAUUUGGCACAUGUCUUGGGCAAAGUUGCUAGACUUGUAGAUUUAAAAUGUCACAAAAGCAGGUGAGGUAAGGUGGAAUAGUCAAAAGAAAGAGGUGGGGUAGAAAAAAUAGCUAUGACUGUCGAAGAAAUCAGAGGAUUUAGACCUGAAAGAAGUCUUAGAAAUCAUUUAGUCCAGAGAAGAGGAAACAAAGACCCAGAGAAGGUCCCCCAUUUUGGGAAGCUAUACAGCAGCCAGAUGAAGGCUACCAGAAUGGUGAAGGUCUUCCAGAGAUUGUGCAAUAUGAGGCACAGCUAA
rnacentral:lncRNA from 1 species